AGUUGUUGCGGUUAAAAGCUCGUAGUUGGAUUUCUGUCUAGGGUGGCCGGUACCCACUAUGUGAAGUAUCUGGUUCAGUCUGGGCAUCCUCUUGGGGAUCGUUCCUGUGCUUGAUUGCAUGGGGCGGAAUUCAAGACUUUUACUUUGAGGAAAUUAGAGUGUUCACGGCAAGCUUUCGCUUUGAAUACAUUAGCAUGGAAUAAUGAUAUAGGGCAUACGUUCUAUUUUGUUGGUUUCUAGAACAUAUGCAAUGAUUAAUAGGGAUGAUUGGGGGCACUCGUAUUAACGCGUCAGAGGUGGAAUUCUUUGAUUGCGUUACGACGAACUACUGCGAAAGCAUUUGCCAAGGAUGUUUUCAUUGAUCAAGAACGAAAGUAUGGGGAUCGAAGACGAUUAGAUACCGUCGUAGUCUAUACCAUAAACUAUGCCAACUAGAGAUUGGAGGUCGUUUUUUUUAUGACUCCUUCAGCACCUUAUGAGAAAUCAAAGUUUUUGGGUUCCGGGGGGAGUAUGGUCGCAAGGCUGAAACUUAAAGGAAUUGACGGAAGGGCACCACCAGGAGUGGAGCCUGCGGCUUAAUUUGACUCAACACGG
rnacentral:rRNA from 1 species